GUCAUUAGGUAUUUAAAAUAAACCUAAGGGCGUAAUUAACUUAACUGUUUUUAAAAAAUAUGGGAUUAUAUAUAUAUAAUUGAAAUAUGUAUUCCAUCCCGGGGCGUUCUAUACAGUUAUGCAUUUUGAUAUAAAUUUAUUUGUAUUAUAUAUGCCUCUAACUAGAGCGUACCUUUAGCAUAUAUGUUGUGACCCGAAAGAUGGUGAACUAUACCUGAUCAGGUUGAAGUCAGGGGAAACCCUGAUGGAAGACCGAAACAGUUCUGACGUGCAAAUCGAUUGUCAGAAUUGGGUAUAGGGGCGCAAGACUAAUCGAACUAUCUAGUAGCUGGUUCCCUCCGAAGUUUCCCUCAGGAUAGCUGGUGCAAUUAAAUAUUGUAUAACAUAAUCUUAUUUGGUAAAGCGAAUGAUUAGAGGCAUUAGGGCCGAAACGACCUUAACCUAUUCUCAAACUUUAAAUAGGUAAGAACCUUACCUUUCUUGAUAUGAAGGUGAAGGCUAUGAUAUAUUGUGCCCAGUGGGCCACUUUUGGUAAGCAGAACUGGCGCUGUGGGAUGAACCAAACGUGAUGUUACGGCGCCCAAAUUAACAACUCAUACCGAUACCAUGAAAGGCGUUGCUUGCUUAAAACAGCAGGACGGUGGACAUGGAAGUCGUAAUCCGCUAAGGAGUGUGUAACAACUCACCUGCCGAAGCAACUAGCCCUUAAAAUGGAUGGCGCUCAAGUUGUAUGCCUAUACAUCACCGCUAAAGUAUAUGAUUUAUAUAAACAUAAAUUUAUAUUAAAUUUUGAAACUUUAGUGAGUAGGAGGGUACAAUGGUGUGCGUAGAAGUGUUUGGCGUAAGCCUACAUGGAGCCGCCAUUGGUACAGAUCUUGGUGGUAGUAGCAAAUAAUCGAAUGAGACCUUGGAGGACUGAAGUGGAGAAGGGUUUCGUGUGAACAGUGGUUGAUCACGAGUUAGUCGGUCCUAAGUUCAAGGCGAAAGCUCAAAAAUGUUAAGUUAUAUAAAAAUAUAAUACUUAAUAUAUUGAACGAAAGGGAAUACAGUUCCAAUUCCGUAACCUGUUGAGUAUACGUUUGUUAUUAAAAAUGGGCUUUUAUGCUCAUCCUGGCAACAGAAACAACCAUAAAGAAGCCGUCGAGAAAUAUCGAAAGAGUUUUCUUUUCUGUUUCAUAGUCGUACUACCAUGGAAGUCUUUCGAAGAGAGAUAUGGUAGAUGGACUAGAAGAGCAUGGCAUUUACUGCUGUGUCGAUAUUUUCUCCUCGGACCUUGAAAAUUUAUGGUAGGGUUACGCAAAUUUCUUAACAGGCCGUACCGAUAUCCGCAGCUGGUCUCCAAGGGAAGAGUCUCUAGUCGAUA
rnacentral:rRNA from 1 species